rnacentral:rRNA from 1 species
GAUUAAGCUACAAAGAGCAUAUAGGGGAUGCCUUGGCACUAGGCGCCGAUGAAGGACGUGAUAAGCUGCGAUAAGCGACGGGGAGAUGCAAAUAAUCUGUUAUCCGUCGAUUUCCGAAUGUAGGAAUACACUACGAGUUAUGUCGUAGUAUCAUAACACGAAUACAUAGUGUUAUGAGGGGAACCCGCUGAACUGAAACAACUAAGUAAGCGGAGGAAAAGAAAGUAAAACAACGAUUGUGGGAGUAGUGGCGAGCGAAACUGCAAGAGCCCAAACCUAGCGAAGAAAUUUGCUAGGGGUUUAGGACCGCAACAUGACAAGACAAAUGAUAGGUGAAGAUUGUUGGAAAACAGCACGAUACAGGGUAAUAGUCCCGUAACCGAAAUCAAAUGAAAGUCUAGCGGUAUCCAGAGUAACACAGGACACGUGAAAUCCCGUGCGAAGACGCGAGGACCAUCUCGUAAGGCUAAAUACGACCUAGUGACCGAUAGCGAAUAGUACCGUGAGGGAACGGUGAAAAGAACCCCGGGAGGGG